GGGCAUGCGCUGCUUAACAUGCAGUCGAACGGUAACAGGGAGCUUGCUCCGCUGACGAGUGGCGAACGGGUGAGUAAUACAUCGGAACGUGCCCAGUAAUGGGGGAUAGCUCGGCGAAAGCCGGAUUAAUACCGCAUACGCCCUGAGGGGGAAAGUGGGGGACCGCAAGGCCUCACGUUAUUGGAGCGGCCGAUGGCUGAUUAGCUAGUUGGUAGGGUAAAGGCCUACCAAGGCGACGAUCAGUAGCUGGUCUGAGAGGACGAUCAGCCACACUGGGACUGAGACACGGCCCAGACUCCUACGGGAGGCAGCAGUGGGGAAUUUUGGACAAUGGGGGAAACCCUGAUCCAGCAAUGCCGCGUGUGCGAAGAAGGCCUUCGGGUUGUAAAGCACUUUUGUCAGGGAAGAAAUCCUUUGGGCUAAUACCCUAGGGGGAUGACGGUACCUGAAGAAUAAGCACCGGCUAACUACGUGCCAGCAGCCGCGGUAAUACGUAGGGUGCAAGCGUUAAUCGGAAUUACUGGGCGUAAAGCGUGCGCAGGCGGUUGUGUAAGACAGGUGUGAAAUCCCCGGGCUUAACCUGGGAAUUGCAUUUGUGACUGCACGACUA
rnacentral:rRNA from 1 species